CCUACGGGUGGCAGCAGUGGGGAAUAUUGCACAAUGGGCGCAAGCCUGAUGCAGCCAUGCCGCGUGUGUGAAGAAGGCCUUCGGGUUGUAAAGCACUUUCAGCGGGGAGGAAGGCGGUGAGGUUAAUAACCUCAUCGAUUGACGUUACCCGCAGAAGAAGCACCGGCUAACUCCGUGCCAGCAGCCGCGGUAAUACGGAGGGUGCAAGCGUUAAUCGGAAUUACUGGGCGUAAAGCGCACGCAGGCGGUCUGUCAAGUCGGAUGUGAAAUCCCCGGGUUCAACCUGGGAACUGCAUUCGAAACUGGCAGGCUAGAGUCUUGUAGAGGGGGGUAGAAUUCCAGGUGUAGCGGUGAAAUGCGUAGAGAUCUGGAGGAAUACCGGUGGCGAAGGCGGCCCCCUGGACAAAGACUGACGCUCAGGUGCGAAAGCGUGGGGAGCAAACAGGAUUAGAUACCCUAGUAGUC
rnacentral:rRNA from 1 species